GGCGCCUGCUCAGUGUGGGACGCGGAGCGCGAGGGGCGGCGGCGGCGGCCGCUGGCGCUCAAGCAUGGCGGCGGCAGCAUUGGGCAGCUCCUCAGGCUCGGCGUCCCCGGCCGUGGCUGAGCUCUGCCAGAACACCCCGGAGACCUUUUUGGAGGCCUCCAAGCUGCUGCUCACCUAUGCUGACAACAUCCUCAGGUGCAGGGCAACGGGGUCGGACGGCGGGUACCGGGGUGGGUGGGCCGCGGCGCCUUGUUCGGCCAGGGACUGGGUGUCCGGCCUGAGCUUCAGAGGGCAGCGACGCCCGGACAGACCGGGACCUGGAGCUGGUUCUGCUCCUAACGUCCGAGCCCGCCGGCCAGGGGCCUCGGGACCCGGCCAAGUCCCACCCCCGCUCGAGAAAAGGAAGUUUCUUUGCAGUAGUGACUUGGCACCUGCAGUCAGGGUGCUGCGGGUGAACUGGAGUCCCGGAAGCGGGGCCGGGCGGAGGAGAGGUAGGAAGGCGUGCUUCAGACAUUGCCGCUCUUCUCGUCGUUUAGCGGCCUCAGAUAUCAGGACACAACGAAACCCUAAUGAUGAAAAAUAUAGAUCCAUCCGGAUUGGAAACACAGCCUUUUCUACUAGACUCUUGCCUGUCAGAGGAGCUGUUGAAUGUUUAUUUGAAAUGGGUUUUGAAGAGGGAGAAACACAUCUCAUCUUUCCUAAAAAAGCUUCAGUGGAGCAGCUGCAAAAAAUUCGUGACCUGAUUGCCAUAGAGAGAAGUAGCAGACUGGAUGGCUCAAAUAAGAGCCACAAAGUAAAGUCAUCUCAGCAACCUGCAGCCAGUACCCAGCUUCCUACAACACCAUCUUCAAAUCCCAGUGGGUUAAACCAGCACACAAGGAACCGUCAAGGGCAGUCAUCAGAUCCACCAUCUGCUUCAACGGUUACUGCUGAUUCAGCCAUUCUAGAAGUUCUUCAGUCCAACAUUCAGCAUGUGCUGGUCUAUGAAAAUCCUGCUCUUCAGGAGAAAGCGUUGGCUUGUAUUCCAGUCCAAGAACUAAAAAGGAAAUCACAAGAAAAGUUAUCAAGAGCUAGAAAAUUGGAUAAAGGUAUCAAUAUAAGUGAUGAGGAUUUUCUUUUGCUGGAGCUUUUGCACUGGUUUAAGGAAGAAUUUUUUCACUGGGUGAAUAACGUUUUGUGCAGCAAAUGUGGUGGACAGACUAGGUCUAGAGAUAGAUCAUUACUGCCCAGUGAUGAUGAGCUGAAGUGGGGUGCAAAGGAAGUGGAAGAUCAUUACUGUGAUGCCUGCCAGUUCAGCAAUCGAUUCCCAAGAUAUAAUAACCCUGAGAAACUUUUGGAAACAAGAUGUGGACGGUGUGGCGAGUGGGCCAAUUGUUUUACACUGUGCUGCCGAGCUGUAGGGUUUGAAGCUCGCUAUGUUUGGGAUUACACAGACCAUGUCUGGACAGAAGUCUAUUCUCCUUCUCAGCAGCGGUGGCUGCACUGUGAUGCAUGUGAAGAUGUCUGUGACAAGCCACUCCUUUAUGAAAUAGGAUGGGGCAAGAAGCUUUCCUAUGUCAUAGCAUUUUCAAAAGAUGAGAUAGUUGAUGUCACUUGGCGAUAUUCCUGCAAACAUGAAGAGGUGAUUGCCAGAAGAACUAAGGUUAAAGAAGCGUUACUUCGAGACACUAUUAAUGGACUUAAUAAGCAGAGGCAACUGUUUUUGUCAGAAAACAGAAGGAAAGAACUUCUCCAGAGGAUAAUUGUGGAGCUUGUUGAAUUUAUAUCUCCCAAAACCCCUAAACCUGGAGAACUUGGGGGAAGAAUAUCUGGGUCAGUGGCUUGGAGAGUAGCCCGAGGUGAAAUGGGUCUACAGAGAAAAGAAAUCUCGUUUAUUCCCUGUGAAAAUGAGAAGAUUUCUAAACAGCUCCACCUUUGUUACAAUAUUGUGAAAGAUCGUUAUGUUCGAGUUUCAAAUAACAAUCAAACCAUUUCUGGAUGGGAGAAUGGUGUGUGGAAAAUGGAAUCUAUAUUCAGAAAAGUUGAAACAGACUGGCACAUGAUAUCCCCCUUUGCUAGCCAUUCCUUUAAAGGAGCAGUUAACCUGUGUGUAACCCAGAUGCCUAAUAGUUUAGGAUGGGUGAAACUAAUGACUCCCGGGGAACACUGGUGGAGUCCUGAGUCCCACAUCCUCCUUACAAGCAGCUGUAAGAGGAGCAUGCAGUAGGAACAUAUAUGAACACCGGAGGAUGUUAUAGUGGCGUUGUCCAAACUUGAGUGGAGCAAUUGACAGUUCCACAUCUAGGUAUAUUUGGCCCGAAAGGAAGGAUCAUCUUUUGCUUACAUUUCCUGGAAGUUUGAGUGUGGGUCGGUUGGCCUAAAAGUAGAUAGCAUUUCUAUUAGAACAAGUAGUCAAACUUUUCAGACUGGAACAAUAGAAUGGAAAUUGCGAUCUGAUACAGCACGAGUAGAACUGACAGGCGAUAACAGUCUUCACUCCUAUGCUGAUUUUUCUGGUGCCACUGAAGUUAUUUUGGAAGCAGAAUUAAGCAGAGGAGAUGGUGAUGUCGCUUGGCAACACACCCAGCUGUUUAGACAAAGCUUAAAUGACCAUGAAGAAAAUUGUUUGGAGAUAAUUAUAAAAUUCAGUGACCUUUGAGAACCUGAACAUUAUAGAAAAGCUGGCAAUAAUCAAGGACUUACUCAAGUAGUCUGUUGGUUCAGUGCAUGCUUAGUUGGCAGUUACCACCCUGUGCUAGCAUAUUUCUUUUGCUAGCUAUCCAUCAUGUAACCCUCAUGAAAAUUAUCUUUAUACGUGGACUAUAAUAAAAUAUUGAAUUAAAA